rnacentral:rRNA from 1 species
GACGAACGCUGGCGGCGUGCUUAACACAUGCAAGUCGAACAGAAAGGCCCCUUUGGGGGUACUCGAGUGGCGAACGGGUGAGUAACACGUGAGUAACCUGCCCUUGACUUCGGGAUAACUUCAGGAAACUGGGGCUAAUACCGGAUAGGAAUCCUUGCUGCAUGGUGGGGGUUGGAAAGCUUCGGCGGUUUUGGAUGGACUCGCGGCUUAUCAGCUUGUUGGUGGGGUAGUGGCUUACCAAGGCUUUGACGGGUAGCCGGCCUGAGAGGGCGACCGGCCACAUUGGAACUGAGAUACGGCCCAGACUCCUACGGGAGGCAGCAGUGGGGAAUAUUGCACAAUGGGCGGAAGCCUGAUGCAGCAACGCCGCGUGCGGGAUGACGGCCUUCGGGUUGUAAACCGCUUUCAGCAGGGGCGAAGCUUGUGGUGACGGUACCUGCAGAAGAAGCACCGGCUAACUACGUG